AAAGGAAAAGGCGACUGCGGAGGACAUUACGAACUUUGAUGUGCGUUGCUCAGGGUCUUCCAAGGAGUGCGUGUUACCUGUUUUUUUUCCUCCACCUGUGCACUUACUGUAGGUUGGCGUGGGUUUCUAGCCUCCGGGCUGGGAGCAUUCUGCCGGCCUAUGUACACUACAAACUCUAAAGUAUCAGAAUGUAAACGCGUCUAACGCAUCUUAAUACAACUUUCAGCAACGGAUCUCUUGGCUCUCGCAUCGAUGAAGAACGCAGCGAAAUGCGAUAAGUAAUGUGAAUUGCAGAAUUCAGUGAAUCAUCGAAUCUUUGAACGCACCUUGCGCUCCUUGGUAUUCCGAGGAGCAUGCCUGUUUGAGUGUCAUGAAAUUCUCAACCCAUAAGUCCUUGUGAUCUAUGGGCUUGGAUUUGGAGGCUUGCUGGCCCUAGCGGUCGGCUCCUCUUGAAUGCAUUAGCUUGAUUCCGUGCGGAUCGGCUCUCAGUGUGAUAAUUGUCUACGCUGUGACCGUGAAGCGUUUUGGCAAGCUUCUAACCGUCCAUUAGGACAAUCUUUCAACAUCUGACCUCAAAUCAGGUAGGACUACCCGCUGAACUUAAGCAUAUCAAAA
rnacentral:rRNA from 1 species